UACGAAGGGGGCUAGCGUUGCUCGGAAUCACUGGGCGUAAAGCGCACGUAGGCGGCUUAUCAAGUCAGGCGUGAAAUUCCCGGGCUCAACCUGGGGGCUGCGCUUGAUACUGAUUGGCUUGAAUGCGGGAGAGGAUAGUGGAAUUCCCAGUGUAGAGGUGAAAUUCGUAGAUAUUAGGAAGAACACCAGUGGCGAAGGCGGCUCACUGGCCCGGUACUGACGCUGAGGCGCGAAAGCGUGGGGAGCAAACAGG
rnacentral:rRNA from 1 species